rnacentral:tRNA from 1 species
GCGGGCGUGGCGGAAUUGGCAGACGCACUGGAUUUAGGUUCCAGCGGCCUUGGCCGUGGGGGUUCAAGUCCCUCCGCCCGCACCA